AAACCGGGGCUAAUGCCGGAUAACAUUUAGAACCGCAUGGUUCUAAAGUGAAAGAUGGUUUUGCUAUCACUUAUAGAUGGACCCGCGCCGUAUUAGCUAGUUGGUAAGGUAACGGCUUACCAAGGCAACGAUACGUAGCCGACCUGAGAGGGUGAUCGGCCACACUGGAACUGAGACACGGUCCAGACUCCUACGGGAGGCAGCAGUAGGGAAUCUUCCGCAAUGGGCGAAAGCCUGACGGAGCAACGCCGCGUGAGUGAUGAAGGUCUUCGGAUCGUAAAACUCUGUUAUUAGGGAAGAACAAAUGUGUAAGUAACUGUGCACGUCUUGACGGUACCUAAUCAGAAAGCCACGGCUAACUACGUGCCAGCAGCCGCGGUAAUACGUAGGUGGCAAGCGUUAUCCGGAAUUAUUGGGCGUAAAGCGCGCGUAGGCGGUUUCUUAAGUCUGAUGUGAAAGCCCACGGCUCAACCGUGGAGGGUCAUUGGAAACUGGGAAACUUGAGUGCAGAAGAGGAAAGUGGAAUUC
rnacentral:rRNA from 1 species